UUUCCGUAGGUGAACCUGCGGAAGGAUCAUUAUCGAGUUAGGGUCUCUGGCCCGACCUCCAACGCCGUGGCUACUAUACCAUGUUGCUUUGGCGGGCCCGCGCUCGUCGCCGCCGAGGGGUUGACCCCCCUGGGCCAGUGCCCGCCGAUAGCCCCCUCUUAAACCCUUGAUCAACCGUGAAUGUCUGAGUAAAAAAAAAAUAAAGAACAAAACUUUCAACAACGGAUCUCUUGGAUCUGACUUUGACCAAGAACGCAGCUGACCGGAGCACCACACGAC
rnacentral:misc_RNA from 1 species